rnacentral:rRNA from 1 species
CUACGGGCGGCUGCAGUGGGGAAUAUUGCACAAUGGGCGCAAGCCUGAUGCAGCCAUGCCGCGUGUAUGAAGAAGGCCUUCGGGUUGUAAAGUACUUUCAGCGGGGAGGAAGGGAGUAAAGUUAAUACCUUUGCUCAUUGACGUUACCCGCAGAAGAAGCACCGGCUAACUCCGUGCCAGCAGCCGCGGUAAUACGGAGGGUGCAAGCGUUAAUCGGAAUUACUGGGCGUAAAGCGCACGCAGGCGGUUUGUUAAGUCAGAUGUGAAAUCCCCGGGCUCAACCUGGGAACUGCAUCUGAUACUGGCAAGCUUGAGUCUCGUAGAGGGGGGUAGAAUUCCAGGUGUAGCGGUGAAAUGCGUAGAGAUCUGGAGGAAUACCGGUGGCGAAGGCGGCCCCCUGGACGAAGACUGACGCUCAGGUGCGAAAGCGUGGGGAGCAAACAGGAUUAGAUACCCUUGUAGUC